AAAUCUGGACAACUUACACUGAGGGAAAGAGAUGCUCAGGGACUGCAAGGUUUCAAGCAAGAAUAAAAACUGCAAGAUUAGCAUGGCAGAAACCUCCCAUCCUCAUGGAGAGUUAUGAGAAGGGAGACAGCUGUGCCACGUGUCACCUGGAGCCAGUCCCAUCCAAGAGAAGAGCUGCUUGACAAAGGAAGACAUAGAAAGGAAGGGAGCAAAAUGAGGUGAACCUUGCUGGAUUAUUCAGUACCAUGGGCUCUCUCCAAUGUUUAUAUGGGUUAAAGCAGCAAUUCUUCAUCAGUCCUAGGUAAUAGCUGGACACAGUCCUGGCAAGAAGCUCCAGGUUGCCCUGUUUAGGCAGGGAGAUUGUAUCACAUGAGCUCCAGAGGUCACUCCUACCUCAACUGUACUGUACUUCUGUGAUUCUCCCAUCUCUGAGAUGGCUGGUGGAGAUUUCCCUUUACAGAGAAAAACUUUCAGCUGGUUCAUCAAGGCAGAUACGUGGUGAUUUUUUUUUUCCAUCUGUGCCCACAAUGCCAGCAGGGAAUAUGUUUAGAAAGUGAGAACACAUGGGUGACAUGGAGUAGCUCCACCUCACCAGCUCCCACCUUUUAUGCAGUUACAUGGGGAGGUGGUACCAAUCUCGGAGGCCAUAGGCAAAAAUAGAAAUUAAUUUCAGGAAGUGGUUCAGGCACCACAAGGAUGGAUUACAUGUGGAAAAGCAGACGGAGCUAAAUGACCCCCCUUUCGCAGAACACAAGGGUAUUAGAAAUGGCUGCUCCUAGAUGUAACACUGGUAUAAGCCAUAUUAUUGACAAUCAAUAUAGAAAAUGGAAACAACAUAUUUCUUUUUAGAUCUCAACUAUUUUCUGCCACUUGAGUGCUUGACGCCCCAGCUUGCAAACAGAUAAGCUGGUUUAUGAACAAUACAGCAUCACUUUCAUUGCAAUUGACUAUUCAGAAGACUAGAGGAAGUAAUUAUCAUUGUUUACAUCAGCCACUGCCUUGCAACUGUUGUGUUAAGAGAGCAUGUCCUAGGAUAUUCAGUGUUUUGUAACUGUUUUUUUUCCUUCUAAAAUAUCUAAUCUUCAUGUCUUCUGUUUCUUGUGGUGUGAUGAAGUCUAGCACAUAGUCAGACAAAAUCUUAAAGCUAGAAAAUAGCUUUGGUAGAGCUGAGAGUUUGAUGAGAAACUGAAAGGAUCUAUUGUUGUCUUUAGUCGUAUUUGUAUUGCAAUGAAUAGACAUGGAUUUAUUAUUUUCUCAU
ensembl:lncRNA